ACCUAGAAUACUUGGACUAAACUAAAAUUGAGAUAAUAAAGACUAGCAUGGUCCCUGUGGAAAGGUGAAAUGCAAAUUUUUGAAGCAUUCCAUAUUUUU
rnacentral:snRNA from 1 species